rnacentral:snRNA from 1 species
AUGCGCAUUUAUUGGCAGCAUUUUAACCAAAAUUGGAAUUAUACAGAGACGGGCCUUGCAUAAGGAUGACACACACAUUCAUCAAACAGUCCAUACUUUU